AUUCAGGCUGGCCUUGAACUCACUAUGUAGUCGAGGCUGGCCUUGAACUCAUGAUCCUCCUGGCUCAGCCUCCUAACUGCUGGGAUUACAGGCGUGUGCCACCACACUUGACCUUGUUCUAUAUUCUUGCCAACAUCUGUCAGUCCUGUUAAUAUUAACUUUUCUGGUGAACAUAUAGAGAGGCUUGCUGUGGUUUCAAUUUUCAUUCUCCUGAUGGCUUCCAGUGUUACAUACCUUUUCACAUAGAUAUAGUAUAUGUGUCUAUAUGUGCAUAUGUAUGUGUAUACACAUGCACAUGUUGGUAUACGUAUGAAUAUAUUUGCUAUUCAGUUACGCUUCUUCUGCAGUACCUGUGCUUCGGUGCGUCAUGCCUUCUUCAUUGCCGUUUGUUUCGUUGCCUUUUGAUGUUAACGCUCAUUGAUCUGUGUAUAAGCUGUGAUGUACAGAUGAGUUUAAGGAAGGACAGCUACUGAAAAGCCAGGUAAUACUGAGAACCCUGAAUUGAGUGCCCUUUUUUCUUUUGGUGGCACUGGGCCCACUUGGGUUGAACCCAGGCCCUUCACACUGAGCUACAUACCAGUCUCAAUCUUUUGAUUUUGCAUUUUUGGGACAGGGUCUCACUAAGUUGCUAAAUGGCCCAGUAUGGGCUCAAACUUGUGAUUCUCCAGCCUCAGCCUCUCAGAGUGGUCGGAGUACAGAUGUGCCCCACCACAUCGACCUGGAUCUGUGCUUCUUGCAAAAUAUCAGCUGAAAGAUGGAAUUUCUUUAUGAAACAUUAUAAGUUAAUUCUUCAAUGAAUUCAGGUUAUUUUCUAGUAUGUGAAGUCAUUUGUUCAUCCAUUCAGGUUGUGUUACAGCAAAAAGUAGGGUGUAUUUGUGCGUAUAUUGUCAGUUGCCUCACAGGUUUGAUGCUUUCAUGGGUGGUUUGUCAAGUUUCUUUGGAAAAUGGUGGUCUUUCAAUUUUUGACCUUACUGUUUUGCUCAAUCAAUAUUUCUUCACAAUGUUUGAAGUAUAUUCUUUGUUUCACAAAUUGCACCAUUUAUAUUGGUGCAAAUAACCAGUGCAAAGUAGACUUACUCAUUUUGACGAUUAUGAAUUGCCAACGAAUAGCAUUUGGUUUAGUUAUUGCUUUAGCAGCUAGUGUUGUAGUCCGUGCUCUUGUCUUGAAGGCAGCGGGUCAUACUCAGUUGUAAACAUUGUUUUGUCUAAUGUCUCUGGUGGUCAUGUUUGAUAACCUGAUAACUGCCACCCCUCCAAACCCACAAACUUAUUUCUUAAAGGGAAUCUCUGCUGUUGAGUCAGGAGCAUGCUAAUGAAAACUGCCAUUCUUUGUAGCUGGAAACCACAGGCAUCUGCUUGAGAGUAAAUCACUGCCUUUUGGUUGAGUCAUAGCAGGGUGUUUUUCAACAUGUGCCAUUAUUAAAAUCCUUUUUUUUUUUUUUUUGGUACCAGGGAUUGAACUCAGGUCCUUGCGCUUGCGCAGCAGGCGGCAAAACCACUGAGCUAAAUCCCUGGCCCCAAAAUCCUAUUUCUUGUAUUUUAAAAAUUCAUGUGUUUUAAUUUGAACAGCUGAGGCUCCAUGCUAUUGGAUUAUGUUAUCUACAUUUAUACCUGCCUUCCUUAGAAUUUAUUCCUAUUAUUUAUAGAUAAGUUAUAUAUAACAUAUAAUAUAUAAUACAUGAAUGGUAGCAGAUUUAUGUACUCAGUGGUAAAGGGUAUCUACUUUUCACUCAAAGGCUGGGAGAAUAAUAGGUGUAUUGUUUACAUAGGUAGCUGUUCUCUUAAGAAGUGGGCUUCUUUAAUGUUUUAUUUGUAGGUUAUCAUUUACAUUUCUGACUUAUGAAAAAUGUUUCUACUUAUGCAGUUUGGUUAGAGGACCCUCUCACUUUUAGCCAUUUAUAUGCUUUGGAAUGAUAAAGUGAAACAUUAAUAAAAGAAAAAAAUAAAAUGAAACAUUAACAUGUACAGUUUUUACAUGACCCUUUUAAAAUUUUAUUUUUGUGUUGUGUGUGUGUUACUAGGGAUUAAACUGGAUCCUCGCACUGAGCUGCAUCCCCAGUCCUUUUGUAUUUUGAGACAGAGCUUUGUUAAGUUGCUCGUGCUAGGCUUGAACUUGUGAUCCUUCUGCUUGGCCUUCCUUGUGCUGGGAUUAUAGCCUUGCACCAUUGUGCUGCAUCCAGUUUUUGAUUCUGAAAUUAGACAGACCAGUUUUGGCCAAAAUGCAGUCACAUAGUCUUGUUACAGUGAGGCUUGGGAGGAUGGUGGUGGAGGAUAGUGAAUUUGAGGCCAGUCUGGGCUACAUAGGGAGUUUGCGGCCAAACUCUACCACGUAGCGAGACCAUCUCAAUAUAAACCACAACAAAUGAUGACGAUGGUUUCAGGAACAACUAUUCUUUUAAUACAAUUAUUGGUUCUUUUUCGUAUUUGGCAGGGUCACUUUGUAGAGCUGUUCUUCAGGAACAGAUAAUAUUAAGCCUGUCUGACUUUGUGUAUGAAUUUUCCAGGACAUCACAGAUUUUAAAAUCAAAAUUGUAAGCUGAGUACACUGGUGCAGAACUGGGAAGGCUGAGGCAGGAGGAUUUACUUGAGCUCCAAAGUUUGGAGCCAGCCUGGACAAUGCAGCAAGACCCUAGUCCUAAAAUUAAAAAAUUAAAAUCAAACCAUGGGGCCGGGAGUAUGUAGCUCUGCAUCGCAGCAUCUGCCUGGCAGACACAAGUCCCUCAGUUCAACUCCUGGUAGCCAAAAAAAAAAUCAUUAUCAUGAGCAUCACUGAAUUCACUCCCUGUGAUUGCUUUGUUAGGGUUUAUUGCAAUGAGUAUACAGUAAAACUCACUGCUUUUCUUUAAGACUCUUUAAAACAGAAAACUCUUAAUACUUUUUUUAAAAUAUUGAAUACAAUAAUUAAGCUACACGUUGACGAGCAGAAUUUAGGUAACUUCUUCUAAGAUUAACUUUCUGGGUUUCAGUAUAAACUCUCUCAGGGUACAGGUUCACAUGUCUGAAAAGUUGAGAUGCCCUAAAAAGUUUUUAGUAGGGUAUCAUUGUGUCCUUAGGAAAAUUAAUCCUGGGCCAUGGAUUUAGCUCAGUGGUUGUGGCACCUGCCUCGAAAGCGCAAGGUCCCAAGUUCGAUCCCCGGUACCAAAAGAAAAGAAAAUUAAUCCUGUUCAGUUUGGUUUAGGAUUCCAUUUAUUUUUAUCAUCAGCCUUAACUUUACCAUAGGAACAUUAUGUGGAAGUAUUAAAUUUAUAAAACCAGCUUAAGAAUGAAGAUGAGGGCCGGGGAUUUAGCUCAGUGGUUUCUCUGCCUGCCUCGCAAGUGCAAGGACCUGAGUUUGAUCCCCGGUACCAAAAAAAAAAAAAAGAAUGAAGAUGAAGUUAGGAGCAGAUUCUCAAAAAACAGCUUAUGCAGUAGAAUGUCACUUGCUGGUAGGAAUAUAUACAAGUUAAUUUUUAAUUGAUUUAUAGCAUGCUUUAAGAAGUUUUUUUUUUUUUUUGGUACCAGGGAUCAAACUCGGGUCCUUGCAAUUGCGCAGCAGGUGGCGAAACCACUGAGCUAAAUCCCCGGGCUUUAAGAAGUAUUUUAAAAAGUUGUAUACCAGAUCUAUAGAUCUUCAUAAAGUACACGCAAAAUUGUGCAUACCUAUGUUUUACAUGCAUAUUUUACACAAAUUUUGCGGCUGUAGGGGGAGUAUUUAAUUAGUAAAAGUGAAUUUGAGAUCUAAAUAGGUUUUGGAUACAAUACUGGUCUUAGGUAGUGAUUCCAGUAUUUUGUGUUCAUGUACCUCUCACAUUCAGAAAAAUUUUAACACAAAUCUGUAUAUUUGUGUUUAACCCUACAUUGUGGUUGUGAACUACUGUAUUAAUAUUUCAGGUAUGUUAUAAAAGCAAAAUUUUAUAAGGAUAACAUAAUAAACAUAAGCCUGCCCCCCAGUGAAAAAUCUUGGGUGUGUGCUCUUUGGAGAACUUUGGUCCAUGGUAUACUAAGGUAGGAGAGCCUUUUUCUGAUCAAAUACAAUAGAAAUAUGUGUAUGUCCUGCAUUGGUACAAGUAGAAUAAGAUUUUGUAGAUACAGUAGGAAUUGAGAUCUUUUCUAUGGUUUUCUAGGGUGAGCUUUUAAACUAUGUUGUGUUAAGAGACCAUUUCUCUUACAAGAGGGUAUAUGGGAAUAAAUAAGGACAGAUUUAGCAAAAAAGACAAAUAUUUUUAAAUUAGCAGAUUUGAAAAUUAUUUUGUAUUUAGUACUUAAUAGUGUUUAAUACCAAAAUAUAAAAUUAACCUAAAUUUAAAUUUGUCAGUGUUCUUUGAGGAAAUGGGGGAUAUAUUUUGAAUUGCAGGGAAAUCCUUAUUGAAUAAAAAUCCUUUCACAAUGGAAAUAAUUAAACCAUACAGCACAAUAUGUUAUUUUACCAGAACUUUGGUUACUGUUAAGAACUUUUAAGAGAUCAACUAAACCUUCCAGAAUCAUCCUUUAGAAGACUAAAUCUGAUUUUGUUGUAUUCCUAGGGUGAUAAAAGAAAACAUGGGUAAGGCUGCUGAAAGUUCAGCUUCUAGUAGAAUUCUGAAGACCUCACAGACCAGGAAUGCUGCAGACAUGCUCCCUUUCAGGUUAAAUGGCUGUGUGGAAAAUGUUCUCAGUAACCCAGGACAAACAAGCCAGUAAACAAAUAGGAGUUAGUCCAUGUGGCUAAGCACCAGCAUUAGCCAAGACGAUUAUUGCCUAAUUGGAACCAGCUCCUCACCAUGAAACAGCUGUUGGGGGGUAGUCUGGUUGAUUCAAGUCUUCUACAUCCGUAAACCACUACUUUUAGUGUUUACUUAUUUCCGCACAAACACAAGUGGCUGUCAAAGAGGGGAGUAUGGAGAUUUCUAACAAAAUGGCUAGAGCCCAGCUUCUACUUGAGGAAGAAAUGGCACUGCACACUGCAUCUGGAGCCUCUAACGGGAGCUGUUCAGCAGAGGUCAGGACCAAGGAGGGGAGUUUUUCAUGUCUUUACUAUAAACUAUUAUGGGCAUAUUUUUUGUUUCUUUUUCAGCUAAAAGGGAAAAGACUAUUAGUAAUAGGCAGUGGCUUUGGAAUACUCAAUAACAAACUAGGAAGACCCAGCUCCAUAUAUUUUAAAUAGGACUCUGCAGACCCCUCAGUGUGGCUUAGGGUGGUAGGUAUUGGUAAGGGUUCUCUUCUGCCACAGCAGCUCUGUUUUUAACUAUUUCACAUAAUUAUUACACACAGUAUAAGGUUUCAUUUAAGUAAAGGGUUCUACCCUAAGAAUCAGUUAAUAUUUACAGUGUAUCCUUCAAACUGAGCAGCUUCAGGGUAAAAACAGGCUUACCUUCUGGCAUGUUCUGUGGAAGUUUGUAACUGAAAUCUGUUGAGAAAUCUGGCCCCUCACAGAGUCGAUGACAUGCUAUUGGGAAAACAGGUUCCAGCAGAACAAGGCGAGCUUCAAAGUAAUCUCGGAUUGUCUCUUCAGCCACUCUCGAAAGCCUGGUAAGAAAUGACAGGAAGUUGUUAAUGCACUGACAUAUCACACUGUACCACAUACAUAAUUAUGCUCACCAGGUAUGAACAGCACCUCUGCCCUCAGCCCACCUCCCUGCUCAUUCCCUUGUGCACCCGGCACCUGAUGUACUGCACCAGUCUGCCUCAUGCCCAUCUUCUCUCACUGUAAACUCAAACUGCAAAGGACAAGCUUUUCCCUGCUGCUGUCUCCGUCCUCCCGGCCAUUAACAUAGUGUCUGCUUGCUCAGACUUGCCUAAUGAAUGAAUAAAAGCAUGAGAGCCUCUCAGGUGGGGGCAAACAGGAAGGCUCCCUUCAGCUAAUCCAUGAGGAGAGAAGAUCUGAUGCCUCCUGUGAUUCCUCACAGCCUGGCCUCAGAAAGGAUCAAAGCACAGGCUAUCCAGAGGGCAGACUGGGCACAGGCCUUUUGUGGCCUUUUGUCUCUUGUCUAAAAUACACCUUACAUUCUGCUUAGAUUAUAGAUCCUCUGUCUGGAAUUGGAGUAACCAUUUUGUAGGCAGGAAGAGCCAGUGAGGAUUAAGAGGCAAGAAGAAUAGCUUAGCCUCCUGAGACUGCCAAAAAAGUGCCUGCUUGUCUGGAAAAAAAGCACCUUCAUCAGCUGCCUAACGGCUUGGAGCAUUUCUGGCAAGUGUUGCCCAAAUAAUUCUUAAGUGAUAAAAAGAUCCUUGUACUAUGAAGUAUAAACUUGUAAUAAAAUAAAACUUAGAAUUCACAUAAAAAAAUAAGCUGGUACAGACAGAAUGUUAGUGCUAUAAAGGAAUGAGCCAUCCAGACAGGGACGGAACCAACUACAUGGCUGUAGUUAAAUGAAAAUCAAUCUGAAAAGGCCAGAUAAUGUAUGAUCCUAAAUACUGUAGAAAGGGCAAAUUAGCCACCAAAAGACAAGUGCUCACCAGGGCACAGGGGAGACAAGAACAAAGAUCUGGAAAAUUAAAUAGGUCUUUCAUUUUUCGGUACCGGGGAUCAAACUCGGGUCCUUGUGCUUGCGAGGCAGGCAGUGGAACCACUGAGCUAAAGCCUCGGCUGCUGGAAAACAAUUUUUAAAGCAGUGAAAAAUACUGUAAGAUACAAUGGUGAACACCUACCGUUACACCCUGGUCCAACCACAUGGAAUGUAUACCAUAAGGCUGAACCCUAUGUGAACUGAGGACUCUGUCUGCAGAGUCAUUGAUACAGAUACAUCGAUUUUAACAAAUGUGCCACUCUGGUGAGAAGGGUGACAGCAAACAAGAUGGAUGAGGGGGCAGAGUAUGUGUUUAAAAAAAAAAAAAAAUUAGAAUAGUUUAAAAGGUUUUAAGGAAAUGUCAGACAAAUUAACAGCAUACAUAAUUUGGAGAAUUUAAGGAGAUACCCAGAUCUAAGAGUUAUGUGUGAUGUUUUCUAAGGCUUCAAUAACAUGCACAAAAAUAAAACAUGCCCUUUGCUAACUUCAUGAUCUACAAGAACAGAAACCUGUUAGGAAACAUACUAAAUCUUUUUCUGAGCAGUUAUUUAGAGGCCAUUCCAGUGACAAUGUGUCCAAAUAAACAGGUUUUGUUAGUUAACCAUGGUACAUUCACUUUGUACUUACGUCUCCAAGUGGCUCUUCAGCAAGUCAUAUACUAGCACAUUGUUACACUGCUUUGCAAAAUGCAGUGCGCUAUUCUGGUGCUUUGACAAAAUGUUACAAUCAGCUCCAUAUUCGAUUACAAGCCGAACAAUGUCCGAAUUUCCUCUUUUACAGGCCUAAGUCAGAGAAAGGCGUGACAAUUACUUAACUGUAAAUGAUAGUAACUACCAGUUGGCAUUGGUCCCUCUCUCCAUACAAACCUGGGAGUUCUUUGUAAAGAGUGCAAACUGCAAUGGAGAAAGGGUGAGAAAACCCACAGCAGCAAUCACUGCUGUGACUGCAACAUCACAGAGGACUCACUACCUAGGGCACUUCCUGCUGCUCUCCUUCCACCUUUCUCCCCAGGUCCUCAACUCCUUUCCUUCUCCCCUGUUCUUUCCCAUGCUUUAGCCUUCUCCACCUCUCAAAAGCUGACCCCAUUCCCAACCUGUGGCUACAGUGCAGUCACUCAGACUGAUGGCUCUCUGGUCUGAAUCUCCAGCCCAUACCACUGUCCAGCACCUGCUUGUCGCUGAUGCCCAUCCUCCCUACUCAAGAAGGGCACCACUUCCUGUUGAACCACCUUCUGGGAAUUCUACCUGCUAAAAGGUGGGUAAAUUACCCACUUUUCUCUAUCACUGGUUAUGUACAGACUACUAAUUAUCUAUUUACUUAACAAAUCUUUUCCCCAGUCCAUUCUGCCUUCUGCUCUAAAGCAUGUUAAAUGAACUAACCCUUGAAUCGACCUAUAUCUUUCUCCAGCUUUAACCUGCCCAUAGCUCUCAAAUGUCCUCAAAGUACAUUGCUAGCCUGUGCCAUCCCUGUGCCAUCCCUGUGCCAAGUGCUGGUGCCUCCCUCACUGGCCCAUUCUGCCUAAGCUCCGCUGUUCAGAUGUACCCUGGGCUUUCCGCUGAGACGAUGCUGAGGCACUAGCUCUGCUCUGCACAGACGGCAAUAACACACAUAAAAUCAGACUACAGACUCAAACUUAAGGACUUAAACAAAAAUGUACAUUUCCAUCAACUAAAAAUUUUUAAAAAGCAGUGGGUAAGGCCUAGCCUGAUUAUGGCUGGGGCCUGAGAAGGGGUAUGGCGUCCAGGCCCUAAAACCGCAGUAUUCAAGGCUAGACUCAGCAUGUGGCACAUUACAGAGCUGCUAACAGAGGUCAGAACAGCAGGGGUUGCAGGCAAAUCCCUGCCUGCUUGCUUCAUAGUUUACAUAAAGCUGCAUACCAGGGAGAGGCAAGAAAGAUAAGUCACCUUUGGCUCAGUGUCUGGACCUGCUAUGUCCUAGCAGCUUAAUGGGCCAGGAACCCAGAACAGCUGCAGAGGGAAAGUAGCGCUGGGCUGGGUCCCAUGAGGCAAAUAUAAACCUGUGAGGCAGGGAGGCAACCAACAGUACUUGGGGCACUAGGAGGCUCCGACCACCUUCCACUGGGAAUGUGUCUGCCAGCCAAGUUUGGUGACAUAUGCCUAACAGUCCCAGCUACUUGGGAGGCUAAGGCAGUACUAAAGUCUGAGCCUGGGCAGCUCUGACUUGGCAAGACCCUGUCUCAAAAUUUUUUUAAAAAGUUUAGCUCAAUGAUGGAGCACAAGCUGGAGAUCCUCCUGGUCCCCAGCCCCUCCCCAAAAGCCCCAAAAUGAAGUCUAGCGAAGGAAACCUGUGAGAGAACUGGAUGUUCAGAGUGCCCAAGUAUCUACAUAGACAGGGGAAACAAAUUCUUGCCUUGGGGUGUGGUAAUCUACCGGUCUUGCCGUUGCAUAAGUCCUCAAUAAAUUAACUCGGUGUAAUCCUGAA